rnacentral:rRNA from 1 species
GAUGAACGCUGGCGGCGUGCCUAAUACAUGCAAGUCGAGCGAACGGACGAGAAGCUUGCUUCUCUGAUGUUAGCGGCGGACGGGUGAGUAACACGUGGAUAACCUACCUAUAAGACUGGGAUAACUUCGGGAAACCGGAGCUAAUACCGGAUAAUAUUUUGAACCGCAUGGUUCAAAAGUGAAAGACGGUCUUGCUGUCACUUAUAGAUGGAUCCGCGCUGCAUUAGCUAGUUGGUAAGGUAACGGCUUACCAAGGCAACGAUGCAUAGCCGACCUGAGAGGGUGAUCGGCCAGACUGGAACUGAGACACGGUCCAGACUCCUACGGGAGGCAGCAGUAGGAAAUCUUCCGCAAUGGGCGAAAGCCUGACGGAGCAACGCCGCGUGAGUGAUGAAGGUCUUCGGAUCGUAAAACUCUGUUAUUAGGGAAGAACAUAUGUGUAAGUAACUGUGCACAUCUUGACGGUACCUAAUCAGAAAGCCACGGCUAACUACGUG